GCGCCUGCCGCCGACGCGGCCCGAGCGGCCUCGGCUGUGUGUGCGGCGCCGCCGGCCCGCCUCCUGGGGCUCCUCGCUGCGGGUCCUCCUCGAGUCCUAUCGCUCGACAGCGGCCCGACCCUGCCAAGCCGCCUUUAAAUUCAACGCCAGCCAAUACCGUGCGCCGGUCGGGCCACGUGACGGCGCCCGGAGGGGCCCGGCGGCGCUCGCGGAGCCCCUGGAGAGCCCCUCCGCGCGUCCCGUCACCCUGCCCCGGUGGCUGCCGGGAUACGGACGGCUCGGGCCGGUCCCGCUCAGUCCUCCAGCCGCGGGGGCCCUCCAGUUCCGCCGCCGGCGCCGCCGCCCGCCCGUCCGCCGCCCGCGGGCCGCUUCUCUGGGCCCCCCAGGCACAUGGCUCCAUGAGGCAGGAAAAGGCGGCGCGCGAGAGGUCCCGUCCGCCCCGGCUGCGCCUGGCCCGGGAGAGAAGGUACAGGAAGGAAGAAUGGACUCGGAAGGAAGAAAAUUCAUUUCAGAGACAAAAUAGCUCCCCUCCUCUGUUAUAGCUGUGUCCCUGGCAAUACAAACUUCCUGCUUCAGGUUCUGUACAUUCCAGACCGCGAGCACUGAGUCAGGAUGGGAAAAAGACGCUGCGUUCCUCCACUCGAGCCCAAGUUGGCAGCAGGCUGUUGUGGGGUCAAGAAGCCCAAGUUAUCUGGAAGUGGAACGCACACUCACGGGAACCAGUCCACCACUGUCCCCGGCUCUAGUUCAGGACCUCUUCAAAACCACCAGCAUGCAGAUGGCAGCAGUGGUCGGGAGAAUGUGUCAGACUUAACUCUGGGACCUGGAAAUUCCCCCAUUACACGAAUGAAUCCCGCAUCGGGAGCUCUGAGUCCUCUUCCCCGACCCAAUGGAACUGCCAACACCACCAAGAAUCUGGUGGUGACCGCAGAGAUGUGCUGCUACUGCUUUGAUGUCCUCUACUGUCACCUCUAUGGCUUCCCUCAGCCACGACUUCCUAGAUUCACCAAUGACCCCUAUCCGCUCUUUGUGACAUGGAAGACAGGGCGGGACAAGCGGCUUCGUGGCUGCAUUGGGACCUUCUCAGCCAUGAAUCUUCAUUCAGGACUCAGGGAAUACACGUUAACCAGUGCACUUAAGGACAGUCGGUUCCCCCCCCUGACCCGAGAGGAGCUGCCUAAACUUUCCUGCUCUGUCUCCCUCCUUACUAACUUUGAGGAUGCCAGUGAUUACCUGGACUGGGAGGUGAGAACAGCUGCAUUUGGAACUCUGCGUUGCAUUUGGGUUCGGGUAGGGGUCCAUGGAAUACGAAUUGAAUUCAUCAAUGAAAAAGGUGUCAAACGUACAGCCACAUAUUUACCUGAGGUUGCUAAGGAGCAAGACUGGGAUCAGAUCCAGACAAUAGACUCCUUGCUCAGGAAAGGUGGCUUCAAGGCUCCAAUUACCAGUGAAUUCAGAAAAACGAUCAGACUCACCAGAAGUGCGGUGCGGUGAGGCCCUGCGGAGACAUGGCAGCAAAGACUCAGCCUCCUGAGUGUCCCAACAGCUAAGCUGAGAGCAGAGGGAGCAGGGCGAGGCCACUGAGCAAGUCGUGGGUGUCUGUGCCAGAUGCGCUUUGGGGGAGGCUGAGGCGAUCAGGUGGCACCUUAAAGGAACAGUCAGAAAAUGCUUGGUACCGAAGUGAGAAGGUGACAAUCAGUUAUGCAGAGUAUAUUGCUUCUCGACAGCACUGUUUCCAGAAUGGCACUCUUCAUGCCCCGCCCCUCUACAAUCAUUACUCCUGACACACGGCUGCAUGACCAGUCCCACCCCCCUGUGGCCACCAAUGGCUAUGACAUCAUUGGAGCAGACGCCUCCUCUUCCUGGUCCAGUUACUUCUAUUACUGCACCAUUUUAUGAUGCUAGCUUCCGUUGCCAAGUCUGCCUCCAGCUGACUCGGGGUUGGGGUGGGAGAACGGGAUUAUAUUGAAUGAAACAGAACUCGAGGGGCCCAAGCCUUAUUUCAGCCUUUCCUCAUUAUGGGGUUCCGUUGGAUUGGGGCUCCUCCAUGACUAGUGAGAAUUGCCUGUGGGUUCAGAAGGCCCUCGGCAUGCACGUGGCCACCUGCUUGCUGGCUACACGGUGGGAGCUGGAAGUCAUGAUUCCUGAAGGUUGACCCCACUUGCACCCUUGUAGCCUCCCCAGAUCAAGUAGAUGUGUUUUCCCCUGGCAGUCUGGGCAACGGAGACCAACAAGACACAUUUUUAGGUUGUUUUAAAUUCCUUUUUCUAAACGUCCAGUUCAUUGCAUACCAACAGAUGAUGACAACCUCCAUGCUUCAUAAGUGGACGCCAUGUUCGGGGUGGCUGUGGGCGCCGUGCGUCUUGUGAGGCUCCUGGACAGACACCCACAUCCAGAUGGAAAGCCCCCAGAUGGCAUGGCAGAUCGCAUUCGUUGCUCAGCCAGCCUCCAAGGUUUAAUUCUAACCCUGCUGUCAGUUGGAUUUCCUGGCGCUCUUCUCGCAGUGAGUCUCCUGUACUGCACAGGGAGCUCUGUGGUGGAACCUGCUGAGGAAUGAACUGGGACGCCUGCAGGAGGUCCUGACAUCCUUGCCGCGUGCAGCGUGAAAGGGGAGGCCUCCUCCUUACCACCUGGCUACCUCACUCCUCGCCUGGUAGCAGUGCCUAUAGCUGUAUAGGUUCACAGAAGACAUAGAUGUUCACAAGCACCUGGGUCGGGCUGUAGAAAGACACAUUGUCACAGGAGAAAAUCCAGGUCUCCAAACUGUUUUUUGUCUUUUCAGGCAAACAUCUUUAAGGGACUGAAAAGCAGAGGAGUUCCUUUUCCUAGUUUCCCUGUAGAAGUGAGAAGACAGUUGAUUCAGUCCUUUACAGGACUUUAGGACAAAGCUGUGUAAUUAAACAAGGUGAAUCGUUAUCUUGCCUAAUAUGCUGGGAGUCUUCACCCCACCGGGACGGGGUUCCAAGCAGCUCAUUUUAGUCUAGGUCAUUCCGUUUUCCUGUGGCAUACUUCCCUUUCCCAUAGCUGCUGACUAAGUACCUGUCAGCAAGUUCCUCUUCCCCCUUGCCCAGCCUUCACCCGCUUGGUGCAGAGCUGAUGGCAGCUGGGACUUGGAAGGGGCUGUGGCAGCACUGUGACGGAGGCACUGCUGGAAGGGCCCAGGAGGAGUGGCCGGUGGGAGGAGAGACCCUAAGGGUAACUGUCCAGCAGCGCACUUGGAGAACUCUUGAAGUGAUUGGAUGUCAACCUGGUGGACACAAUGUUGUUAUUUAAUUUAUUUUUAAAAGUUUAUGUGGUGAUGGUGUGGCUUUCCAGAAUGGGCAAAUAGUCAAGUCAAAAGACCUUUUGAGUUUUUUUCUGCCAGGAAUUGGGGAAGGGGGUGGACAGGGACACAGUCAAUAAGACACGACACAUGCUAUUAUAGGCAUAGCUGUCUCGUUUCUUGGAAGAGAGGAGUAAAGGUGGGCAGAUUAGCUGGGCGUUAUCCCUUAGGCUAUGGCGCCUGCAGGGACAAUGGGCUGACAUCGGAUGCCCAGGCUGGGCUGGAUUCUCACUUCUUGCCACUUUUCCUUGCAGAGGUAAUGAAAAAAAGCUAUUGAAGAUGAAGGGAUUGUUUCAUGAUUGCCUGCUGCUGAGAAUAAUAAAUGUCUUGUUACAAACGUGACGACAGUUACUUUUCGGUGCCAUGGAUUGAUGUCAGGGUGGUCAGUUUGGGACUAAACCAUCCACCUUCAAUUUGUACAACAGUAUUGAUCUAUAGGGCUACACUUCAUUAUUGUUCAAGUGUUCUAUGUUAAAAGUUGUGUUUAAUUUCUAAAGAUUAAAAAAAAAAGCAAAAAAAAUGGUGCUAAAAUUUUACCCCUGAGCACGCUCAGUGAAACUGGUCAUGCAAGCAUUUACAGUGCCAUGCUUUUCAAGCCUAUUGUUUCUCGUAGAAAUGCCGCCCUAUCUGUCUUCCCCAAUGUAUAGUGUGAUUUUUUUUUUUUAUCUUAUCAGGGGUGGGGUAGGAUACCUGCCGUUAAGAAAGUGAACAGAAAAGUUUGAACCCACACACCAGGGGCUGGGAAUCUGCACAGGAAUGGCUGGUGAAGCCCAGCACCACACGGCAGGGGCUUCCAGGCCCUGAGCUCCACCCAGGCCCAGCAGCAGAGGUGCUCCGGGUCCUCUUGCUUGUCACAGGGACUCCAGAGUUGACCAAGGAAAGUUACGUGGCUCUGGAAAGAAUGGCGCUAUCCGUGUCCGUCUUAAACGGGGCCUCGUCAGGAAGCAGUCUGGGAGUGCCCGGUCAUGGCCACCUCAUGAAGGUGUGGCAGGUGGCGCUCAGGAAAAACACUGAGUCUGGAUCAUCCAUGUGGCCGUUGUGCAGAGGGGGAUGGCAGCUCCAAACUAGAACUGAACUGCUCUCCGCACACUCCCCCUGCGCGGCGAUGAGGGCGGCCAGUCCACGUGUGGGUUUAAAGAGAAGGGACGGUUUUGCUCGCUCCGUUUGUCCUUGGGCUGCUCAAGCUGGACAGUAGGUGACCGCUGUUUUCAAGGAACCACCCCCACAUGGCUGGUUUGGCUCGGAGCUUGUUUUGUCCCUGGCAGUGAGUGCCUUUUGGUCUGGAAAGUUAGCUUGUCUCCUAACACCCACAGCUGGGACAUUCUCUCUGUAAUUAUGAAUUGUGUUUGUUUUACAUUAAAAGAGAAUGUCUCAUCACUAGAGUUUGUCGGUGUUGGAUUGUUUCCACUGUGAGGUUCUUAAACUUUUUUUGCUUCAUAAUAUUAAAGCAAUUCAUGUUAGAGAUCCUUUCAGUAUGAAAGGUUUGUAAUGGAGACAUAACAUUUUAUUGUUUAUAAUAAAAAUCAUCUAUACAGAAGUCCUAGGUGUUAAUAUUUGCACAAGAUCUGUUUUCCAUGUUAACACCUACAAUUUCACUAACUGUUGGUGUUAUUUUCUGUUGAGAUUCUGGAGCCUAGGGAGCUUGUGUGUUUUUUAUUAAUUUUCCUAUUUCCUUGAAGCAAGAGACUUUGUAUAGCCUUCAAGUGCAAGGACUUCAGACCAAUUCUUCGUAUUACAUUUGGUUGGCUCUUGGCUAUAUAACUGCUGAGUGCAAAUCAUUGAACUCUUUAACGAAGUAUUGUAGAGAAUAAAUCAUUAUGGGUAAAAACU